rnacentral:rRNA from 1 species
CCUACGGGCGGCAGCAGUGGGGAAUAUUGGGCAAUGGGCGCAAGCCUGACCCAGCAACGCCGCGUGAAGGAAGAAGGCUCUCGGGUUGUAAACUUCUUUUAUCAGGGACGAAGCAAGUGACGGUACCUGAUGAAUAAGCCACGGCUAACUACGUGCCAGCAGCCGCGGUAAUACGUAGGUGGCAAGCGUUAUCCGGAUUUAUUGGGUUUAAAGGGUGAGCAGGCGGACUGGUAAGUCAGCGGUCAAAGCCCGGGGCUAAACCCCGGCCCGCCGUUGAAACUGGCAGUCUCGAGUGGGAGAGAAGUAUGCGGAAUGCGCGGUGUAGCGGUGAAAUGCAUAGAUAUCGCGCAGAACUCCGAUUGCGAAGGCAGCAUGCCGGCUCCACACUGACGCUGAGGCACGAAAGCGUGGGUAUCGAACAGGAUUAGAUACCCCUGUAGUC